CAUUUUCCAGGAUUACAUCUGGAGAGUUUCCAGUACUCUACCAGUCUCGGCUACAGGAGGGAGAGUCAUGCAGAGGCCUACCCAUUCCAUUCCUAGCUUGGGCAGUGGGUAGCAAGUGGAAGGCAAUCUGCUACAAGU
rnacentral:snoRNA from 1 species